CCUCCUGCCACAGUCCAGGGUAGGAGAUACUUCUCCAGGCUCUCACUUAUGGGGGCUUUCCUGCUGGCUACAUCACUGAAAUGGAAUCUCCUAGUGGCCCUUCUCCCUCUACAGCUCUGGUGUUACACUGAAAAACUAGAAGUUUCAAAACAGACAAGGGAAAAAGAGAAACAUCAGAAAGUCUGAUUAAAGUAGAAGCAUCAUAUUUCUAUCAACGUAUCCACUGUGCUUGUGAAUUUUUGCCACCUUCAAUGAGAAAGACUGAAACAAAAAACUCAGAAGAAAGAAAGAGACUGAGAUAGCAAAUAUGACAAACUGUUAAAAAUUCAUGAAUCUGUUAUGGAAUACUAUGCAGCCAUAAAAAAGGAUGAGUUCCUGUCCUUUGCAAGGACGUGUAUGAAGCUGGAAACCAUCAUUCUGAGCAAACUAAAACAGGAACAGAAAACCAAACACCACAUGUUCUCACUCAUAAGUGGGAGUUGAACAAUGAGAACACAUGGACACGGCGGGGUGGUGGGAACAUCACACACCGGGGCCUGUCAGAGGGGAGGGGGCUAGGGGAGAGAUAGCAUUAGGAGAAAUACCUAAUGUAGAUGAUGGGUUGAUGGGUGCAGCAAACCACCAUGGCAUGUGUAUACCUAUGUAACAAACCUGCAUGUUCUGCACAUGUAUCCCAGAACUUAAAGUAUAAUAAUAAAAAGAGAGAUUAAAAAAAUUGGUGAAUCUGGGCAAAAUGUACACAGGAUUUUUCUGUACUGUUCUUGCAACUUUUCUACAGAUUUGAAAUGUUACAAAAUAAA
rnacentral:lncRNA from 1 species